AACGAACGCUGGCGGCAGGCCUAACACAUGCAAGUCGAACGCCGUAGCAAUACGGAGUGGCAGACGGGUGAGUAACGCGUGGGAACAUACCCCUCGGUUCGGAAUAACUCAGGGAAACUUGAGCUAAUACCGGAUACGUCCGAGGUCUUAAUCGGCCUUGGAGAAAGAUUUAUCGCCGGAGGAUUGGCCCGCGUCUGAUUAGCUCGUUGGUGAGGUAAUGGCUCACCAAGGCGACGAUCAGUAGCUGGUCUGAGAGGAUGAUCAGCCACAUUGGGACUGAGACACGGCCCAAACUCCUACGGGAGGCAGCAGUGGGGAAUAGUUGGACAAUGGGCGAAAGCCUGAUCCAGCCAUGCCGCGUGAGUGAUGAAGG
rnacentral:rRNA from 1 species